AUCAGACACAAGACAUAUUCGGAGCGAAUUAAAGAACUGAAUAAUCAAGUUGAGUACCAACAAACCAUCAUAACUCAAAUAAGCCAGGCCUUAUUGUUGUUCAGAAACGACAAAAAGAAUAUGUCGAACGUCUCCCAAGAAAGAAUCGAGGCCGAAAAGUUGAAUUUCAUAGCUAGACAAAAACGACAAUUGUUGCUCUCCGAAAUAGGGCGGCUGAAACAAGAAGAAAAACAAAUAUUGACGAAAUUAGCCAAAGAAACUAAC